CCUACGGGGGGCAGCAGUGGGGAAUAUUGCACAAUGGGCGCAAGCCUGAUGCAGCAACGCCGCGUGAGGGAUGACGGCCUUCGGGUUGUAAACCUCUUUUAGCAGGGAAGAAGCGAAAGUGACGGUACCUGCAGAAAAAGCGCCGGCUAACUACGUGCCAGCAGCCGCGGUAAUACGUAGGGCGCAAGCGUUGUCCGGAAUUAUUGGGCGUAAAGAGCUCGUAGGCGGUCUGUCGCGUCUGCUGUGAAAUCCCGAGGCUCAACCUCGGGCUUGCAGUGGGUACGGGCAGACUAGAGUGCGGUAGGGGAGAAUGGAAUUCCUGGUGUAGCGGUGGAAUGCGCAGAUAUCAGGAGGAACACCGAUGGCGAAGGCAGUUCUCUGGGCCGUAACUGACGCUGAGGAGCGAAAGCGUGGGGAGCGAACAGGAUUAGAUACCCCGGUAGUC
rnacentral:rRNA from 1 species